UUUUUGAUUUUUUGAUUUUUGUAUUUUUUGAUUUUUUGAUUUUUUGAUUUUUUGAUUUUUUGAUUUUUGUAUUUUUUGAUUUUUUCAUUUUUUGAUUUUUUGAUUUUUUGAUUUUUUGAUUUUUUGAUUUUUUGAUUUUUGUAUUUUUGUAUUUUUUGAUUUUUUGAUUUUUUGAUUUUUGUAUUUUUUGAUUUUUUGAUUUUUUGAUUUUUUGAUUUUUUGAUUUUUCGAUUUUUUGAUUUUUGAUUUUUCGAUUUUUUGAUUUUUGUAUUUUUUGAUUUUUUGAUUUUUUGAUUUUUUGAUUUUUGUAUUUUUUGAUUUUUGUAUUUUUUGAUUUUUUGAUUUUUGUAUUUUUUGAUUUUUUGAUUUUUGUAUUUUUUGAUUUUUUGAUUUUUUGAUUUUUUGAUUUUUUGAUUUUUGUAUUUUUUGAUUUUUUGAUUUUUUGAUUUUUUGAUUUUUUGAUUUUUUGAUUUUUUGAUUUUUGUAUUUUUUGAUUUUUCGAUUUUUCGAUUUUUUUAUUGUUUUUUUAUUCAGUAUAGAUAUACAUACUGUAGCACUUGAAUGAGCGGGCAAGGUUACUGAUAAUUGGAAAAUAUAACAUAAUCGAAGCUGUGUAACACAAAAUUAAGGUUAAGGGUUAGGGCCGCGAAUUUGGCAUUUAUCAUGUUGAUAAAUUUGGACGCGUUUAACAAUUUACUCAUAUAGUAAAUUGUGGAGCUCAUGCUGUAAAUUACACUGUACGUAUAAUCUUGAUAAAAAACUUUUCACGACAUAUGGCGCCGGACAAAUGGUUCAUUUGGUGCCGGAAAAAUUUUGCGGACAUAAAAUCGUUUAUUUUUUGCCGACAAUUUUCUUAAUUUUUUGAGAUUUUUAGAUGUAUCAUCUGGGUCCUGGGAUUUAUAUUCUGAGUUCAUCAAUCUUGCAUCAAUAAAUUUUAAGGAUCCCUUGUUCUGCGAGCCCCGCCCG
rnacentral:lncRNA from 1 species